GCCAGGCAUGGUGGUGCAUGCCUGUAAUCCCAGCUACUCGGGAGGCUGAGGCAGGGGAAUCGCUUGAACCCAGGAGAGGGAGAUUCCAGUGAGCCAAGAUCAUGCCACUGCACUCCAGCCUCGAGACUCCGUCUCAAACAAACAAACAAAAACAACCUGAUCCCAGUGAGAUGGUACAAGAACUUGCAAAGUAAAAUACACCUGGGGUAUAGUGUCUUCUGAGAGGGUGGUUAUUGAGUCUCCCUCUAUUGCCCAGGCUGGAGUGCAGUGGCGUGGUCUCGGCUCACUGCAACCUCUGCCUUCUGGGUUCAAGAGAUUCUGCUGCUU
rnacentral:SRP_RNA from 1 species